CAUGCAGUCGAACGAAGCGUUCCGUGUAAUUGAUCAUGGACGGUGCUUGCACUGAAUGAGAUUUUAACACGAAGUGAGUGGCGGACGGGUGAGUAACACGUGGGUAACCUGCCCAGAAGCAGGGGAUAACACCUGGAAACAGAUGCUAAUACCGUAUAACAGAGAAAACCGCCUGGUUUUCUUUUAAAAGAUGGCUCUGCUAUCACUUCUGGAUGGACCCGCGGCGCAUUAGCUAGUUGGUGAGGUAACGGCUCACCAAGGCGAUGAUGCGUAGCCGACCUGAGAGGGUAAUCGGCCACAUUGGGACUGAGACACGGCCCAGACUCCUACGGGAGGCAGCAGUAGGGAAUCUUCCACAAUGGACGCAAGUCUGAUGGAGCAACGCCGCGUGAGUGAAGAAGGGUUUCGGCUCGUAAAGCUCUGUUGUUAAAGAAGAACGUGGGUGAGAGUAACUGUUCACCCAGUGACGGUAUUUAACCAGAAAGCCACGGCUAACUACGUGCCAGCAGCCGCGGUAAUACGUAGGUGGCAAGCGUUAUCCGGAUUUAUUGGGCGUAAAGCGAGCGCAGGCGGUCUUUUAAGUCUAAUGUGAAAGCCUUCGGCUCAACCGAAGAAGUGCAUUGGAAACUGGGAGACUUGAGUGCAGAAGAGGACAGUGGAACUCCAUGUGUAGCGGUGAAAUGCGUAGAUAUAUGGAAGAACACCAGUGGCGAAGGCGGCUGUCUGGUCUGUAACUGACGCUGAGGCUCGAAAGCAUGGGUAGCGAACAGGAUUAGAUACCCUGGUAGUCCAUGCCGUAAACGAUGAUUACUAAGUGUUGGAGGGUUUCCGCCCUUCAGUGCUGCAGCUAACGCAUUAAGUAAUCCGCCUGGGGAGUACGACCGCAAGGUUGAAACUCAAAAGAAUUGACGGGGGCCCGCACAAGCGGUGGAGCAUGUGGUUUAAUUCGAAGCUACGCGAAGAACCUUACCAGGUCUUGACAUCUUCUGCCAACCUAGAAGAUUAGGCGUUCCCUUCGGGGACAGAAAG
rnacentral:rRNA from 1 species